AUUGAACGCUGGCGGCAUGCCUUACACAUGCAAGUCGAACGGUAUCAGGUCUUCGGAUGCUGACGAGUGGCGAACGGGUGAGUAAUACAUCGGAACGUGCCUAGUAGUGGGGGAUAACUACUCGAAAGAGUGGCUAAUACCGCAUGAGAUCUACGGAUGAAAGCAGGGGAUCGCAAGACCUUGUGCUCCUAGAGCGGCCGACGGCAGAUUAGGUAGUUGGUGGGAUAAAAGCUUACCAAGCCGACGAUCUGUAGCUGGUCUGAGAGGACGAUCAGCCACACUGGGACUGAGACACGGCCCAGACUCCGACGGGAGGCAGCAGUGGGGAAUGUUGGACAAUGGGCGAAAGCCUGAUCCAGCAAUGCCGCGUGCAGGAUGAAGGCCUUCGGGUUGUAAACUGCUUUUGUACGGAACGAAAAGCCCCGGGUUAAUACCCUGGGGUCAUGACGGUACCGUAAGAAUAAGCACCGGCUAACUACGUGCCAGCCGCCGCCUAA
rnacentral:rRNA from 1 species